rnacentral:rRNA from 1 species
GAUGAACGCUGGCGGCGCGCCUAACACAUGCAAGUCGAACGGUUAAAGCCCCUUCGGGGGUGCAUAGAGUGGCGAACGGCUGAGUAACACGUGGGCAACCUGCCCCCCGCACCGGGACAGCCUCGGGAAACCGUGGUUAAUACCGGAUACUCCGCCACCCCCGCAUGGGGGCGGCGGGAAAGCCCAGGCGGAGGGGGAUGGGCCCGCGGCCUGUUAGCUCGUUGGCGGGGUAACGGCCCACCAAGGCGAUGAUGGGUAGCCGGGUUGAGAGACCGACCGGCCAGAUUGGAACUGAGACACGGCCCAGACUCCUACGGGAGGCAGCAGUGGGGAAUCUUGCACAAUGGGCGAAAGCCUGAUGCAGCGACGCCGCGUGCGGGACGAAGGCCUUCGGGUCGUAAACCGCUUUCAGCAGGGACGAGGCCGAAAG